UACGGGGGGGGCAAGCGUUGUUCGGAAUUACUGGGCGUAAAGGGCUCGUAGGCGGCCAACUAAGUCGGAUGUGAAAUCCCCAGGCUUAACCCGGGAACUGCAUCCGAUACUGGAUGGCUUGAAUCCGGGAGAGGGAUGCAGAAUUCCAGGUGUAGCGGUGAAAUGCGUAGAUAUCUGGAGGAAUACCGGUGGCGAAGGCGGCAUCCUGGACCGGCAUUGACGCUGAGGAGCGAAAGCUAGGGGAGCAAACGGG
rnacentral:rRNA from 1 species